GAACUGCGAUAAGUAAUGUGAUUUGCAGAAUUCAGUGAAUCAUCGAGUCUUUGAACGCACAUUGCGCCCCCUGGCAUUCCGGGGGGCAUGCCUGUCCGAGCGUCAUUGCUGCCCUUCAAGCCCGGCUUGUGUGUUGGGUCGUCGUCCCCUCCGGGGGACGGGCCCGAAAGGCAGCGGCGGCACCGCGUCCGGUCCUCGAGCGUAUGGGGCUUUGUCACCCGCUCGAUAAGGACCGGCCGGGCGCCAGCCGGCGUCUCCAACCUUUUUUUCUCAGGUUGACCUCGGAUCAGGUAGGGAUACCCGCUGAACUUAAGC
rnacentral:misc_RNA from 1 species